AAAAGGCCUACAGAGCUCCUAGCCUAGGGAGAGCUUUUAAGGUUAGCGUAAGGAGUGCGCAGUUGAUGCUCUUUAGCAAUCACGCUACUGGCCUCACGCCAUUCUCUCGCCCCGCCCUGCAUGUCACAAUGACAUAUAAAUUGAAACCUGCAACAGAACAAAAACUAGGUGGUUACCUUAGUGUUUGUGUGUGUGGCUGUAAAGUUUUACUAGUAAAUCCAAUGUGACACAAACAUUGAAGUUGCCAUUUUCUGUGUGCUUUUCAUAGUGAUGCUGGAUUUUCAUUCAUGUUUUGUUCACAAAUACAGCAAGAAUUCCACAAAUGCAGAUGUAAAUACAGGAACGCACAAAAGCAAGCAUGAAAAUGUACACAUAAGAAGCUUACAUGGUUUUUAAAGCUUACAAAAUAACCCACAAAAUACACAAGGGACAUUUGUAGUCUAAUACAUAAAUAGGGAGCUGAUUACAUCAGUAUAUUGUCUGAAGAAUAUUUGUGAAUGUUCUUCUGCAUUUGUGGAUCUUGAAGCUCUUUCGCAGUCUUGAUAGACAGAGGAUCUCAGAUGUUUGUGGAUCUCCCCCAUAUUGCUAAACUAUAAUGCAGAUCAAGUUACUGUAGGUGACAGAGCCCUGAAACUCUUAUUACCUUGUUGUGAGAAUGCCGUUUUGAGUUCGCUCGGGCCAUCUGCUCUUUUGUACACGUGAGUUAUGUUUAAUUCAGAAGCAAAUUCAUUUCUAGUGCAAGAGCACGGAGAGAUUCGCGAGUGCACAGGACAGAGUUUGAGCGUGCACACAUUUAAGUGAGAGGAGAGGCAUUUCAUAAGAGAGAACUGUAUAUUUGAGAGCAUGAAUCCAGUUUUGUGCGAGAGCAAAGGAAAUCGCUCGCACAUUACAUGGAUGUGCUCUUGCGUUACAAUAAUGGGCUCUCAACAUUUGUCUUUAAAAUAAUGCCAUAGUUUUCCCCUAUGGGGUAGUUUUUGUUUGUGUUUGUUUUAUUUUUUAUUUAAAAUAAAAUGUAUUUAAACAUUUAUUUAAAAUGUAUUCUCUGACCUUGUCCUCCCUCACCUCACCAUAAAACCUGCCAUUUUCAAUGAUGAAAAAAGAAAGGGAAAAAAAAAAAAAACAUUAACACCAUUAAUUUUAUUUGAAAUUUGUAUGUAGUAUAGAUAUAUUACUGUUAUAGCUAUAUAUCUUUAUUUUGUUUCAUUCAGCUUUUUUCUGACCAGUUCCCCAGUCCCUGUCAGGAAAUUCUCCCGGUGCUCCCAAUGUCCAGUCUGGGCCUGCUUUAAUUAAGUGUUUUUAUUUGCAAGUCCAUGAAAGUCCAAGCCAGCUUUCAUGUGUUUUGUACUGUGGAGAGGCUUCUGUCUGGCCAUUCUGCCAUAAAGCCCAAUUCAGUCAUGACACCUCUCAGAGUGGAUUAUUUCAACCAGCAUUUAUUGGCAUGCUGCAUGAAAUAUAAUAAGGCUUGAUUUUUGGCAGAUGAGAUCUACUGUGCUACUGCUGAUGAACAAAUACAAGAAUUUGUUCAGCUUAGUCAAAAUAACAAACAAAGGGACAGACUGCUGCAAGAAAACAGUAGAACCCCGUCGCAGAUCUCUACAGGUGGCGCUGGGGUAACAUAAGUUUUAAUACUCAUGUAGCAUGGUGAUCACAGGCUAGGACACGAUAAAUAUGGUUAUGUGGAUUAGGAAGUACUUCUGAUUGGCUGAUGCCACGGCAUUGAAAGAGCUAAUCAGCGCAUGGUUAGAGUUUAAUGCCUGAACUACUGUAUGUAUAUCUGUGGAGUGUUGCAGUGAUGGUUUCUUCUGCUCCUUCUGCAAGUUUCUCCUGUCAAUAAUCUCUGGAGCUCAACUAGAGUUCUGGUUCACCUGGUUCAGACUGGUUCUUGUUCACCUCUCUUACCAAAGCCCUUCUUCCCUGAUUGCUCAGUUUGGCCUGGUGAUCAGCUAUAAGAAGAGUGUUGGUUGUUCUAAAUUUCUUCCAUUUAAGAAUUAUGGAGGCAAUUGUACUCUUGGGAACCAUCAAUGCAGCAGAAAGUUUUAUGUAGCCUACACAAGAUCUGUGCCUUGACACAAUCCUGUUUUUGAGCUCUGUAGUUCUUUUGACCUCAUGGCUUGGCUUUGCACUAAUAUGCAUUUUCAGCUCUCAAGGGUAUCCAGUCCUGCUCCUGGAGGGACGCUGAACUACAGAGUUUAGCUCCAACUCCAUUUAAACACACCUGAACAAGCCCUCCAGGAUCUGGAUUGUGCCUUUCCAAAUUAGUCAAUAGAAUUUGUCAAAGGUAGACUCCAGUCAAAGUGUACAAACAUACAAACAUCUCAAAGAUGAUCCAAAGAAGUGGGAUGCAUCUGUGCUAAAUUUCAAAUGUAACUGUCAAAAUU